AGCAACUGAUAGACGUAAUCCCACAGCAGCCUACAGUCUACAGGGGAAGAGGGGAGGAGAACACCGUUGACAAGCGAGGAGACCGAGGCCCAGAGGGGCCUGGGAGACGGUGCCGGAGGCGGCCGACCUCUCACCUGUGGAGCCUUCGAGACCAGCCAGGCCCAGCACCUCCCUCCACAGCGAAACGCAAACCAGACCAUUUCUCCAAGUAAGGCUUAACCAGCGCUGGGGUACCUACCAGGACUGGCUCUUCCAAGGCAUCAAACUGAGACCUUGACAUCAUAAACCAUUCACUGAAAAAGACCUAGAAGGGUCCUCUGAUGUCUUGGCAGUUCACAGGGACUCAGCCAGAGUGCGAGAGGCCUGAGCUCCAGGGGACGCUCUGGCCGGUGUGAAGGACGCUGCCCUCGCCAAGGCUCCCGCCCACCUCCUCCGAGUGCUGACAGUGGCACAGCCUCCGAGGAGGUGAGAGAGGGUGAAGAAGUUCAUCUCCAAGGAGAUGAGGAAACUAGGGUACCUUGAGGGCAGGCCAACGUCACUUGAAACAAACACCCAGACACAGGCCUUCUGGGGCAACGCCCGCCCCAGCUCCGGUGCAGAGUGCUGCUGGCCCCACCAAGACCCCCCCCCCGGAGGGUAGCAGAGGAGGGGGAGUAACCCUUAGAGAUUAACCUGCUUGUGCUGUUUACAUAUUUGCCCUUUCAUGCUCAAAAGUGCCCAGAAGUAGGUACUAGCGUCCUCAUUAUUACAGACGAGGAAACCAGGGACAUGAAGAACCUCUGGCUGGGAGACACGGGCUGGAUUCCAGUCCUGGUGACCCCAGACUCCACGCUUUUCCCCAGGAACA